AGCCUUUCCCCUCUCUCCACGGCUGUGCUAAUCCUGUUGCCCCACUAUCUACAGCGGCCGAAUUCCUGAGACAGACCUGCGGCCAGCCCUGGGCCUGCGGGCCUCCCCUCGGCCGGGGCUCCCUCUGGUUCACGGCCCCGAGGGAGGGAGCGAGCGCACAGGCUCAGCCCCUCCCUCGUCCCAGGGGGAGGGCGCUCUGUGCGGGAGUUGUUCUCAAACUGAGCUUCUCCCCGCCUUCGGUCGGUCUGACUCUGCGCUCCCCGUAACUGCCCCUGAAGCACCCUUUAGCCUUGUCCAGCCUCCCUCCUCUUCGAGGGGUCAGCUCGUGGGCAUGUUUCAGGACACACCUGUGGGCAGAGACCUCCCCUGCUCAGCCAACCCUUCAAGGCAGCGAGCAGAACACGGGUGGAGGACAGCAGAAGCAGCCCUGAACCUGGCUGGGACAGGCAGAGCCCACAGUGAGGACCCCAAGCCCCAAGCCCUUGGCUCUGCCAGACUGUGGCCACUACAAAGGGCUGAGGAGCCAGGAGCUGGACAGCUUGGGGAGUAAGGACCCAGAGCACUGGCACCUGCCUUGGUCUCCAGAGGAAGUCGGGUGCACAAGCCGGUUGGAAGAGGCCAAACCUUCACCGCUCAAAGAGGCGUGGCUGGGGACCACGGCCUAAAUCUGGAGGCACGAGAAAUUCAGAGUGGCCAGGGCCGGCAGGGGGUCCCCAAGAGACGCCUUACUGGCAGGGAGCUGGCGAGUCCUGGAAGGCCACAGAAAAUCCUACAGAGGCCUCCCGGAGAAAGGAAGAAUCGCCUGCGUGUCAGUGUUUUUGGAGCAAACCCCUGCAGUUCCCACCGUGCCCACCCUCCACUCCCGCUCCCUGCAGCGCCACGGUCCUGAAACCUCCAACUUGGCGCCUCUGCCCUUCCGUCUACCUCACCUUUCCUCCCUUGCUGCGCUGGGUGUUGGUGAGUUGUUGGUUUUUUUCGUUUUUGCAAUUUAUCAGCAGAUUGUGUGGAGCUGAG